AGGGGUUCCUUGAAGACCCUUUUCAGAGAGGUUCCAGGUUUAACUGGAAAGGUUCGGCCUGUGUAGCAACACAAAAGCUGGUGGAGUGCCCAACUAGACCAAAAUGGACCAAGACAACCAUCAGGAAGAUGGAGAACACUUUUAAGAAGCUGGACACCAACAGGACUUACAAGGCCAUCGGAGAGUUCAAGACCGUCCUCCUGUGGAUCAGUGACAUGAGAGAGAGAAAGGAAAGGUCAAUGGAUAAAUGCCAGUAGUCAUCCAUCCAUCCAUCCAUCCAUCCAUCCAUCCAUCCAUCCAUCCAUCCACACUGUCAAACUGGAGAAGUGGACUGUCACUGACACACACAGAGGAGACCUUCCAGUCACUCCUGAAGAAUGAAUGCCUCUGAUAUCAUAUCAACCACAGCUUCCAUCCACCCCUGGCCUGGACAGUCUUCUAUCUAAUCUACACGAUCACCUGGAGCAAUGGACUGUACACACACACACACACACACACACACACACACACCACUCCACCCAUUCACCACUGGCCUGUGUACCAGCCACUCCAGCCUCCAAGUAAUCUGAUGCACCAGACUCUACCUCCCACGGCACAAAAGCCUGGGGACUAGGUUUGCAUCCAACGGACUCCAACUGACAUCAUUGGCCUAAAUAAUCAGCACAUUUCCAUUUUCCAGGAGCUCAACUUGUAAGUGAAUGUUUUUGGAGCACUGUCCCAUGACUCCACCAUAACAGUGAGUCAUCACAGGAUGCUGCUCAGUGUCCAGUUGUACAACACUGUAGAGUACAACAAACGGUCCUUCUAUUUUCUAUGGUGGUUCCAUCAUUGGUUUAAAGGUGGCUGUGACGGUCUCCUGGCUCUCUGACCACCUGA
rnacentral:lncRNA from 1 species